AGAGUUUGAUCAUGGCUCAGAACGAACGCUGGCGGCAGGCCUAACACAUGCAAGUCGAGCGCUACCUUCGGGUGGAGCGGCGGACGGGUUAGUAACGCGUGGGAAUAUACCUAGUUCUAAGGAAUAGCCUCGGGAAACUGAGAGUAAUACCUUAUACGCCCUUCGGGGGAAAGAUUUAUCGGAAUUAGAUUAGCCCGCGUUAGAUUAGAUAGUUGGUGGGGUAACGGCCUACCAAGUCGACGAUCUAUAGCUGGUUUGAGAGGAUGAUCAGCAACACUGGGACUGAGACACGGCCCAGACUCCUACGGGAGGCAGCAGUGGGGAAUCUUAGACAAUGGGCGCAAGCCUGAUCUAGCCAUGCCGCGUGAGUGAUGAAGGCCCUAGGGUCGUAAAGCUCUUUCGCCAGAGAUGAUAAUGACAGUAUCUGGUAAAGAAACCCCGGCUAACUCCGUGCCAGCAGCCGCGGUAAUACGGAGGGGGUUAGCGUUGUUCGGAAUUACUGGGCGUAAAGCGUACGUAGGCGGAUUAGUAAGUAAGGGGUGAAAUCCCAGGGCUCAACCCUGGAACUGCUUCUUAAACUGCUAAUCUUGAGUUCGAGAGAGGUGAGUGGAAUUCCAAGUGUAGAGGUGAAAUUCGUAGAUAUUUGGAGGAACACCAGUGGCGAAGGCGGCUCACUGGCUCGAUACUGACGCUGAGGUACGAAAGUGUGGGGAGCAAACAGGAUUAGAUACCCUGGUAGUCCACACCGUAAACGAUGAAUGCCAGACGUCGGGUAGCAUGCUAUUCGGUGUCACACCUAACGGAUUAAGCAUUCCGCCUGGGGAGUACGGUCGCAGAUUAAACUCAAGGGAAUUGACGGGGGCCGCACAAGCGGUGAGCA
rnacentral:rRNA from 1 species